rnacentral:rRNA from 1 species
UAGUCCACGCCGUAAACGAUGAGAACUAGAUGUUGGGGGAAUCUGUCCUUCGGUGUCGCAGCUAACGCGUUAAGUUCUCCGCCUGGGGAGUACGCCGGCAACGGUAAAACUCAAAGGAAUUGACGGGGACCCGCACAAGCGGUGGAGCAUGUGGUUUAAUUCGAUGAUACGCGAGGAACCUUACCAGGGCUUAAAUGUAAGUUGCAUUAGUUAGAGAUAGCUAUUUCUUCGGACUACUUACAAGGUGCUGCAUGGUUGUCGUCAGCUCGUGCCGUGAGGUGUCAGGUUAAGUCCUAUAACGAGCGCAACCCCUGUUGUUAGUUGCCAGCGAGUCAAGUCGGGAACUCUAACAAGACUGCCGGUGCAAACCGUGAGGAAGGUGGGGAUGACGUCAAAUCAUCACGGCCCUUACGUCCUGGGGCUACACACGUGCUACAAUGGUAGGUACAGAGAGCAGCCACUGCGCGAGCAGGGA